CCUACGGGCGGCAGCAGUGGGGAAUAUUGCACAAUGGGGGAAACCCUGAUGCAGCAACGCCGCGUGAGUGAAGAAGGUUUUCGGAUUGUAAAGCUCUGUUAGCAGGGAAGAGGAAGGACGGUACCUGCAGAGGAAGCCACGGCUAACUACGUGCCAGCAGCCGCGGUAAUACGUAGGUGGCAAGCUUUGUUCGGAAUAACUGGGCGUAAAGGGCGUGUAGCCGGGCUGACAAGUCAGAUGUGAAAUCCGGGGGCUCAACCCCCGAACUGCAUUUGAAACUGUUGGUCUUGAGUAUCGGAGAGGCAGGCGGAAUUCCUAGUGUAGCGGUGAAAUGCGUAGAUAUUAGGAGGAACACCAGUGGCGAAGGCGGCCUGCUGGACGACAACUGACGGUGAGGCGCGAAAGCGUGGGGAGCAAACAGGAUUAGAUACCCUUGUAGUC
rnacentral:rRNA from 1 species